rnacentral:lncRNA from 1 species
CGGCUACACCCCGACGCCGGUGACCCCGUCUCCCAAGCCCGAGAAGCCACCCAAGGGCCACAAGCCGCCCCACCACCACCACCACGCCAAGCCUCCGGCUGGCUCCCACAAGCCGGCGCCUCCCACGGCCACUCCUCCCACGCCGGCGUACAAGCCACCCACGGCCACGCCUCCGGCUCCGACGCCACCGAAGUACACUCCGUCCCCGAAGCCACCGACGCCUAAGCCCACACCACCCACGUAUACCCCGACCCCGAAGCCGCCCACUCCCACACCAAAGCCCACGCCGCCAACGUACAAGCCGGCACCCAAGCCCACUCCUCCCACGUAUAAGCCCACACCCAAGCCCUCGCCGCCGACGUACCCGCCGAAGCCAACACCACCCACCUACAAGCCGGCGCCGAAGCCGACUCCCCCGACCUACAAGCCGGCGCCGAAGCCGACACCGCCCACCUACAAGCCCGCGCCGAAGCCGACGCCCCCGACCUACAAGCCGGACCCCAAGCCGACUCCCCCGACGUACAAGCCCGCGCCGAAGCCGGCCCCCAAGCCUACGCCCCCGAACUACAAGCCGGCGCCGAAGCCGACGCCGCCGUCGUACAAGCCGGCCCCGAAGCCCACUCCCCCGGCACCGAAGCCCACGCCGCCGACACCACCAGCCUACAAGCCGGCGCCGAAGCCGAGCCCUCCGACGCCCGCCCCGCCGGCGUACAAGCCUCCGACUCCGACUCCUCCGGCGUACAAGACCCCCACUCCGAGCCCGCCGCCGCCGCCCUACCACCACUAAGAUCCAUCACUCUCUUUAGUUGGGAGCACAGGUGAGCAAUGCGGCAAUCUCAGUCUAUGCAUGCAUGAUGCAUGCAUGAAACGCAGACUGUAUCUACAUUUCCCUUUCAAAGUGCAAAGGACGAAACUUAAGACGUGAUUACUUGUGUUUUGCAGAAU